rnacentral:rRNA from 1 species
ACUCAAAGGAAUUGACGGGGACCCGCACAAACGGUGGAGCAUGUGGUUUAAUACGACGAUACGCGUGGAACCUUACCCAGACUUGACAUGUAUUAGAAAUCCUUAUGAAAGUUUGGACCCCUCGCAAGAGGCUGAUACACAGGUGUUGCAUGGCUGUCGUCAGCUCGUGUCGUGAGAUGUUGGGUUAAGUCCCGCAACGAGCGCAACCCUUAUCAUUAGUUGCUACCACUAUCUUCGGAUGGUGCGCACUCUAACGAGACUGCCGCUGAUAAAGCGGAGGAAGGUGGGGAUGACGUCAAGUCAGUACGGCCCUUACGUCUGGGGCUACACACGUGCUACAAUGGCUGGUACAAAAGGUUGCAAUACCGCGAGGUGGAGCUAAUCCCUAAAACCAGCCCCAGUUCAGAUUGCAGGCUGCAACUCGUCUGCAUGAAGCCGGAAUCGUUAGUAAUCACGUAUCAGCCACGACGUGGUGAAUACGUUCCCGGGUCUUGCACACACCGCCCGU